AUCACAGCCUCUUUGUGCUUUCAG
rnacentral:misc_RNA from 1 species